AACAACAGAUUUCGGUUGAAGUUGAUAAUUUUGGUCGAUGUUGAUGGUUUUGGUCGAAGUUGGUUGGAAACAACGGAUUUCGGUAGAAGUUGAUGAUUUUGGUCGAUGUUGAUGGUUUUGGUCGAAGUUGGUUAGAAACUACAGAUUUCGGUUGAAGUUGAUAAUUUUGGUCGAUGUUGAUGGUUUUGGUCGAAGUUGGUUAGAAACUACAGAUUUCGGUUGAAGUUGAUGAUUUUGGUCGAUGUUGAUGGAUUUGGUCGAAGUUUUUUGGAAACAACAGAUUUCGGUUGAAGUUGAUGAUUUUGGUCGAUGUUGAUGGUUUUGGUCGAAGUUGGUUAGAAACUACAGAUUUCGGUUGAAGUUGAUGAUUUUGGUCGAUGUUGAUGGUUUUAGUCGAAGUUGGUUGGAAACAACAGAUUUCGGUUGAAGUUGAUGAUUUUGGUCGAUGUUGAUGGUUUUGGUCGAAGUUGGUUAGAAACUACAGAUUUUGGUUGAAGUUGAUGAUUUUGGUCGAUGUUGAUGGUUUUGGUCGAAGUUUUUUUGAAACAACAGAUUUUGGUUGAAGUUGAUGAUUUUGGUCGAUGUUGAUGGUUUUGGUCGAAGUUGGUUGGAAACAACAGAUUUCGGUUGAAGUUGAUGAUUUUGGUCGAUGUUGAUGGUUUUAGUCGAAGUUGGUUUUAAACAACAGAUUUCGGUUGAAGUUGAUGAUUUUGGUCGAUGUUGAUGGUUUUAGUCGAAGUUGGUUUUAAACAACAGAUUUCGGUUGAAGUUGAUGAUUUUGGUCGAUGUUGAUGGUUUUGGCCGAAGUUGGUUGGAAACAACAGAUUUCGGUUGAAGUUGAUGAUUUUGGUCGAUGUUGAUGGUUUUGGUCGAAGUUGGUUUUAAACUACAGAUUUCGGUUGAAGUUGAUGAUUUUGGUCGAUGUUGAUGGUUUUGGUCGAAGUUGGUUAGAAACUACAGAUUUCGGUUGAAGUUGAUGAUUUUGGUCGAUGUUGAUGGUUUUAGUCGAAGUUGGUUGGAAACAACAGAUUUCGGUUGAAGUUGAUGAUUUUGGUCGAUGUUGAUGGUUUUAGUCGAAGUUGGUUUUAAACAACAGAUUUCGGUUGAAGUUGAUGAUUUUGGUCGAUGUUGAUGGUUUUGGCCGAAGUUGGUUGGAAACAACAGAUUUCGGUUGAAGUUGAUGAUUUUGGUCGAUGUUGAUGGUUUUGGUCGAAGUUGGUUAGAAACUACAGAUUUCGGUUGAAGUUGAUGAUUUUGGUCGAUGUUGAUGGUUUUAGUCGAAGUUGGUUGGAAACAACAGAUUUCGGUUGAAGUUGAUGAUUUUGGUCGAUGUUGAUGGUUUUAGUCGAAGUUGGUUUUAAACAACAGAUUUCGGUUGAAGUUGAUGAUUUGGUCGAUGUUGAUGGUUUUAGUCGAAGUUGGUUUUAAACAACAGAUUUCGGUUGAAGUUGAUGAUUUUGGUCGAUGUUGAUGGUUUUAGUCGAAGUUGGUUGGAAACAGCAGAUUUCGGUUGAAGUUGAUGAUUUUGGUCGAUGUUGAUGGUUUUGGUCGAAGUUGGUUUUAAACUACAGAUUUCGGUUGAAGUUGAUGAUUUUGGUCGAUGUUGAUGGUUUUGGUCGAAGUUGGUUAGAAACUACAGAUUUCGGUUGAAGUUGAUAAUUUUGGUCGAUGUUGAUGGUUUUGGUCGAAGUUGGUUAGAAACUACAGAUUUCGGUUGAAGUUGAUGAUUUUGGUCGAUGUUGAUGGUUUUGGUCGAAGUUGGUUUUAAACAACAGAUUUCGGUUGAAGUUGAUGAUUUUGGUCGAUGUUGAUGGUUUUGGUCGAAGUUGGUUGGAAACAACAGAUUUCGGUUGAAGUUGAUGAUUUUGGUCGAUGUUGAUGGUUUUAGUCGAAGUUGGUUGGAAAUAACAGAUUUCGGUUGAAGUUAAUGAUUUUGGUCGAUGUUGAUGGUUUUGGUCGAAGUUGGUUUUAAACAACAGAUUUCGGUUGAAUUUGAUGAUUUUGGUCGAUGUUGAUGGUUUUGGUCGAAGUUGGUUGGAAACAACAGAUUUCGGUUGAAGUUGAUGAUUUUGGUCGAUGUUGAUGAUUUUAGUCGAAGUUGGUUGGAAACAACAGAUUUCGGUUGAAGUUGAUGAUUUUGGUCGAUGUGGAUGUUUUUGGUCGAAGUUGGUUGGAAACAACAGAUUUCGGUUGAAGUUGAUGAUUUUGGUCAAUGUUGAUGGUUUUGGUCGAAGUUGGUUGGAAACAACAGAUUUCGGUUGAAGUUGAUGAUUUUGGUCGAUGUUGAUGGUUUUUGGUCGAAGUUGGUUUUUAACUACAGAUUUCUGUUGAAGUUGAUGAUUUUGGUCGAAGUUGGUUUUUAACUACAGAUUUCUGUUGAAGUUGAUGAUUUUGAUCGAAGUUGGUUUUUAACUACAGAUUUCUGUUGAAGUUGAUGAUUUUGGUCGAAGUUGGUUUUAAACAACAGAUUUCGGUUGAAGUUGAUGAUUUCGGUUGAAGUUGAUGGUUUUGGUCGAAGUUGGUUGGAAACAACAGAUUUCGGUUGAAGUUGAUGAUUUUGGUCGAUGUGAAUGGUUUUGGUCGAAGUUGGUUGGAAACAACAGAUUUCGGUUGAAGUUGAUGAUUUUGGUCGAUGUGAAUGGUUUUGGUCGAAGUUGGUUGGAAACAACAGAUUUCGGUUGAAGUUGAUGAUUUUGGUCGAUGUUGAUGGUUUUAGUCGAAGUUGGUUGGAAACAACAGAUUUCGGUUGAAGGUGAUGAUUUUGGUCGAUGUUGAUGGUUUUAGUCGAAGUUGGUUAGAAACAACAGAUUUCGGUUGAAGUUGAUGAUUUUGGUCGAUGUUGAUGGUUUUGGUCGAAGUUGGUUUUAAACAACAGAUUUCGGUUGAAGUUGAUGCUUUCGGUCGAUGUUGAUGGUUUUGGUCGAAGUUGGUUGGAAACAACAGAUUUCGGUUGAAGUUGAUGAUUUUGGUCGAUGUUGAUGGUUUUGGUCGAAGUUGGUUGGAAACAACAGAUUUCGGUUGAAGUUGAUGAUUUUGGUCGAAGUUGGUUUUAAACAACAGAUUUCGGUUGAAGUUGAUGAUUUUGGUCGAUGUUGAUGGUUUUGGUCGAAGUUGGUUGGAAACAACAGAUUUCGGUUGAAGUUGAUGAUUUUGGUCGAUGUUGAUGGUUUUUUUCGAAGUUAAUUUUAAACAACAGAUUUCGGUUGAAGUUGAUGAUUUUAGUCGAAGUUGAUGAUUUUAGUCGAAGUUGGUUGGAAACAACAGAUUUCGGUUGAAGUUGAUGAUUUUGGUCGAUGUUGAUGGUUUUGGUCGAAGUUGGUUGGAAACAACAGAUUUCGGUUGAAGUUGAUGAUUUUGUUCGAUGUUGAUGGUUUUGGUCGAAGUUGGAUUUAAACAACAGAUUUCGGUUGAAGUUGAUGCUUUCGGUCGAUGUUGAUGGUUUUGGUCGAAGUUGGUUGGAAACAACAGAUUUCGGUUGAAGUUGAUGAUUUUGGUCGAUGUUGAUGGUUUUGGUCGAAGUUGGUUGGAAACAACAGAUUUCGGUUGAAGUUGAUGAUUUUGGUCGAUGUUGAUGGUUUUGGUCGAAGUUGGUUUUAAACAACAGAUUUCGGUUGAAGUUGAUGAUUUUGGUCGAUGUUGAUGGUUUUGGUCGAAGUUGGUUUUAAACAACAGAUUUCGGUUGAAGUUGAUGAUUUUGGUCGAUGUUGAUGGUUUUGGUCGAAGUUUUUUUUAAACAACAGAUUUCGGUUGAAGUUGAUGAUUUUGGUCGAUGUUGAUGAUUUUGGUCGAAGUUGGUUGGAAACAACAGAUUUCGGUUGAAGUUGAUGAUUUUGGUCGAUGUUGAUGGUUUUGGUCGAAGUUGGUUGGAAACAACAGAUUUCGGUUGAAGUUGAUGAUUUUGGUCGAUGUUGAUGGUUUUGGACGAAGUUUUUUUAAA